rnacentral:rRNA from 1 species
AUUGAACGCUGGCGGCAUGCCUUACACAUGCAAGUCGAACGGUAACAGGUCUUCGGAUGCUGACGAGUGGCGAACGGGUGAGUAAUACAUCGGAACGUGCCUAGUAGUGGGGGAUAACUACUCGAAAGAGUGGCUAAUACCGCAUGAGAUCUACGGAUGAAAGCAGGGGAUCGCAAGACCUUGUGCUACUAGAGCGGCCGAUGGCAGAUUAGGUAGAGGGUGGGAUAAAAGCUUACCAAGCCGACGAUCUGUAGCUGGUCUGAGAGGACGAUCCGCCACACUGAGACUGAGAAACGGACCAGAUUCCUACGGGAGGCAGCAGUGGGGAAUUUUGGCCAAUGGGCGCAAGCCUGAUCCAGCAAUGCCGCGUGCAGGAUAAAGGCCUUCGGGUUGUAAACUGCUUUUGUACGGAACGAAAAGCCCCGGGUUAAUACCCUGGGGUCAUGACGGUACCGUAAGAAUAAGCACCGGCUAACUACGUGCCAGCCGCCGCGGUAA